GUUCAAAAAAUUAGGCUGAAUCUUUUACGCUGAUUCAGUCUAAAAUGAAGAAUCUUUAAGAAUUUACCAAUUUUGUUUUUUGAAGCAGGACUUAUUUCAACAAGUAGCAACAACAAAUAACAUGUACUCUAUCUGUGUUGGUUUUAGAUUUUUGAGUUAUCAAUAAUUAGCUGAAAUUAAUCAGAAAGCUUCAACAUACGGAAAGUAGCUUUAAAGACUUAUAGAAAAUGUUAUUUGGCUUGGAAAGUGUAAUCCAUUAAGACAGGGAAUAAUUUAAUACCUGAUGUGGUAAUUAUUAUAAUAAGGGGAAUGUGGCUAAGAUCAACUGUGUAGACGGUGGUGGAUCAAACUAAUCACCUAUGUCUAUCACAAAUAAACACUGUUUUCAUGUUUGGUUCAUAGUCAACAUCAACGGAACUCUCUGUAGGUCUAUGCAGUAGACCUGUAGGUGGAGAAAUGGUUUGCAAUUUAAAUCAUCUUCACCUGACAAUUACAGUGAUAUGCUUCUGGUUAAUGUAUUUAUAUAUGAAUUCAUUGUGAAUCCAUAUUUUGGCUAAAACUUGGUAGGUAAGUAUUGCACCUUUUUAAGUGAUAUUAUAAAAAGGAGCAGAGGCAGUUUUCUAACUCAACUCAGUGGACUUCAGAUUUCAUAAGGAACUUCAGACCAUGUGUAUGGCUUUGCUGUAACCACAGGGGCAGAGCCUUCAUUAAUUUUGAGUAAAACUAUAGUGAAUGUUCCAGUGAGUCUUCUCAAAGUUUGAAGUUGUGGGUGAACACAGAAGAUGGAGGGAAAAUGGGAAAACUUUAUGAAAACAAGAUUGUGCUUAUUUGAAGCAAAUUUUGUAAGUGAUGUAAUUUUCUGUUUGUUCCUGUUAUUUGAUCACAAUCAAAAGCAUUGCUUUCUAUAUGCUAUUUAUGGCAACUCUAACAAAAAGGAGGUUAUAAAUCAGUAUUUGUAGCUAUGAGAUGGCUCUAAAUAAUUUGGAAAAAAUAUUUCAGCAUUUUGUCUAUUCCUGUGAAGCAACACCCAGGUCUUUAUAUACAAGGAGAAGACACAGCUUACUUGGUCUGUGCAAUCUUUGGUUUCUCUGAGGUGGAUCAUGGCUACUAGCAUGAAGUUAGAUAUAGGACUAUACCGUCUUAAACACUGCAUUUCGAAUAGAAUCAGAACUGCUUGAUAUUUUGUGUCACUAUUGUCCCGGGCCAAAUAAUGCGCUGCUAAUCUUAACAUAUACUCCCAUUACCCAUCAUGUGGGGUAUUAACUGUGAUGUGUGAUCUAUCCCACAAGUGUCCAUAGUGUUAGAUUUCCUAACAGUUACAAAUUUGGAGUCUGACCAUUUGACAUAUUUGAAGAAAGUGCUUUGGAGAGAAAUGAUGGAAAUGAUGUUUGUGUGCCUUAAGACAAUUCUGGGCAGAAAGCAGGUGGGGUUUGACCUACCCCUUCGGUCACAAGGUGGCUGGAUGUAAGGUCAGGAAGUACUCAGGGAUGUCCAGCAUUUUUGACUUGUCACUCACUUCUAAUCUUAGCCCUUUCUUCAGAGUAGUAUGACAGGUGCCCUCGUUGUCUUGAUCAAUGCAAUUUAUUCGUCCAUUCAUUCAACCAGUAUUUACUAUGGGUCAGGCCUUGUGCUAGACACCAAAGGUAUAAUGAUGACCCAGACCAGAAAAAGAGCUUGUAGUCUAGUGGGGCUGACAGAUAGUAAUCCUGAGGUUUGUUAUAAGUACUACGGAAGAAAUGUAAAGGAGUGUAUAACAAGGGGUCUACCACCUCUGUCUGGGAGUGAGGAAGAGGUCUCUCUGAGGAGGUGAUGUUUGGGCUGAGACUGCAGGAUAAAUAAGAGAAGAAAAAGGUGGGUGGGGAGAGGGAGCAUAUUGUACAAAGAAGAAACGAUGCAAAUGCGCUGAGGUUGGGGGAUAUACAGUGUUCUGAGGAGUUGAAAGCAAGCCAGUGGGGCUGGAGGGCACAUAACAAGAGAGGUAAUGCAAGGUGAGGCCAGAGCAUGUGAGCAUGUUGACCACAUGAAUCAUUAUCUAACUUGGCAUAAAUGGAGACUGUCCUUGGCACAUCAGGGCAGGUGAUGACCCUACUCUUAGCCAUGUUAGAGACUGAUCAUUGGAGAGGGAAUUUGGGGGGCAGGGCCUAGAAGCUGGAGGAGGCUUAUGUAUAGCAUGUGUCUUUUCACAAUGCUUCCACAUAAAUGACCUCCCUGGAAAUUUGUUAUGAUUUUAUGUGCUGACAUUAGUUUGAGGGGUUUAGUUGUAUAAUUAUUUGCAGAUAAUUUUUUUUAGGAAUAAAUAAUUUGUUUUAAAAAGUAAUUAUUUGGGGCUCCAGUUAACCAAAUUGGCCAGCAUCAUUGAUUCAGUUAAUGAAUAACUGCAAAUUCAAAAGUCUCUACAAGGUCACUGUGUGAAGUAACCGAUUAAUCUUUAGAGCCCUGCAUGAGCUGGAUCCGUAUGAUUCUAAAUAGCUACUAAAACAGUCAAUUCCCCAGAUAAUUUGUCUACAUGUUUGCAAAUAUCAGAAAGUUUAGAGAAAUUUGGAUGUGAUUUUUUUACUUUCCAUAUGAUGAGGAAUCAGUGUAAUACAUACAAAAGAGUAUGAAGGCAAAGAAUAGAAAAAAAGAGGUUCUUGAAAUACAGCAUUCCUUUAUGCAGCCUUGGACUAAUAUUCCAUUUUGUCAGCUGUAUCAUUUAACUAUUUUCUCCCUGUUUUAAAAUUUAUAUAAUGUAGAAAAUGCUAUUUAGGUGGCAGAAAGGGUAUGUAGUAAUCCCAAGCCUGAGCUGUGGAGUCAUACUGGGCGUCAGAAUGAGUAACUGAGAGAAUAAAAGGACAAAGAUCCCUGACCGCAAGAAUUUUACUGUCUAGAGAAGGCAUAUGGCUUCUAAGUAAACUUUAUUAAAACUUACUAGUGAUUUUAUUUGAACUAAUUACAGAGUCACAGAAAGUUAUAAAAGUACUACAGACAGGUCCUAUGUACUCUUCACUUGGUUUUUUUCCCAGUGGCUGCCUUCUAGAAUGAGAGUAUUAUACCAAAGCAAAGAAAUUGAUAUUGUUAUAUGGUAUACUCCUAUGUCUUGUUGCCACAGGUAUAGAUUCAUGUAACUACCCUGCAAUCAAGAAACAGAACUGAAAGAUGUUCCUUGUGCUGCCUCGAGGAGGUGUGGAUAUAGAUCAUACCUAUCUCCUUUCUCCCCACCAUCCCUAAAUCUAGACAAUAAUUAAUUUGUUCUCCAUCUCUGUAGUUUCUUCACAUUAAUAAUGUUAAAUAAAUGGAAUCAUAUAGCUACAGCAAACAAACAAAAACCCCCAAAAAACAAGUGAAAGCAGUGUAUAAAUGAAGACAUAUUUUUUUCCAACAAGAAAGAUUAGAAAGUCUUUAUGGGAAGAUGUGAAUUUUUUGAUUGGGGGCCUUUGAAAGUUGAGUAGAAUUUCAGUGAGCAAAAAGGGAAGGGAGAGGGGCUUCCCUGGUGGCGCAGUGGUUGAGAGUCCACCUACCGAUGCAGGGGACACGGGUUCGUGCCCCCGUCCGGGAAGAUCCCACAUGCCGCGGAGCGGCUGGGCCCGUGAGCCAUGGCCGCUGAGCUUGCGCGUCCGGAGCCUGUGCUCCGCAACGGGAGAGGCCACAACAGUGAGAGGCCCACGUACCGC
rnacentral:lncRNA from 1 species